GCUGUAGCUCAGUCGCAGAACAUCUGCUUUGCAUGCAGAAGGUGCCAGGUUCCAUCGCUGCCAUCUCCA